AGAGCGAACGCUGGCGGCAGGCUUAACACAUGCAAGUCGAGCGGGCGUAGCAAUACGUCAGCGGCAGACGGGUGAGUAACGCGUGGGAACGUACCUUUUGGUUCGGAACAACACAGGGAAACUUGUGCUAAUACCGGAUAAGCCCUUACGGGGAAAGAUUUAUCGCCGAAAGAUCGGCCCGCGUCUGAUUAGCUAGUUGGUGAGGUAAUGGCUCGCCAAGGCGACGAUCAGUAGCUGGUCUGAGAGGAUGAUCAGCCACAUUGGGACUGAGACACGGCCCAAACUCCUACGGGAGGCAGCAGUGGGGAAUAUUGGACAAUGGGCGCAAGCCUGAUCCAGCCAUGCCGCGUGAGUGAUGAAGGCCCUAGGGUUGUAAAGCUCUUUUGUGCGGGAAGAUAAUGACGGUACCGCAAGAAUAAGCCCCGGCUAACUUCGCGCCAGCAGCCGC
rnacentral:rRNA from 1 species